rnacentral:misc_RNA from 1 species
GAAAUGCGAUAAGUAAUGUGAAUUGCAGAAUUCAGUGAAUCAUCGAAUCUUUGAACGCACAUUGCGCCCGCCAGUAUUCUGGCGGGCAUGCCUGUUCGAGCGUCAUUUCAACCAUCGAGCCCCCGGGCUUGUGUUGGGGACCUGCGGCUGCCGCAGGCCCCGAAAACCAGUGGCGGGCUCGCUGUCACACCGGGCGUAGUAGAUUUUUCGUCUCGCCCAGGGCGUGCUGCGGGUUCCGGCCGUUAAAAAGCCUCUCUUUUAACCCAAGGUUGACCUCGGAUCAGGUAGGAAGACCCGCUGAACUUAAGC